rnacentral:rRNA from 1 species
AUUGAACGCUGGCGGCAGGCCUAACACAUGCAAGUCGAGCGAGCGGCGGACGGGUGAGUAAUGUCUGGGAAACUGCCUGAUGGAGGGGGAUAACUACUGGAAACGGUAGCUAAUACCGCAUACCGUCCGCUGUGACCAGAUGGGAUUAGCUAGUAGGUGGGGUAACGGCUCACCUAGGCGACGAUCCCUAGCUGGUCUGAGAGGAUGACCAGCCACACUGGAACUGAGACACGGGCCAGGUGCCGACGGGAGGCAGCAGUGGGGAAUAUUGCGCAAUGGGCGCAAGCCUGAGGCAGCCAGGCCGCGUGUGUGAAGAAGGCCUUCGGGGUGUAAAGCACUUUCAGCGGUGAGGCGUUACCCGCAGAAGAAGCACCGGCUAACUCCGUGCCAGCAGCCGCGGUAAUAC